UACGAAGGGGGCUAGCGUUGUUCGGAAUUACUGGGCGUAAAGCGCACGUAGGCGGGAUGAUAAGUUAGGGGUGAAAGCCCAAGGCUCAACCUUGGAAUUGCCUUUGAUACUGUCAUUCUUGAGUCCGGGAGAGGUGAGUGGAACUCCGAGUGUAGAGGUGAAAUUCGUAGAUAUUCGGAAGAACACCAGUGGCGAAGGCGGCUCACUGGCCCGGUGCUGACGCUGAGGUGCGAAAGCGUGGGGAGCAAACAGG
rnacentral:rRNA from 1 species